GCUAACCACGGUCCAGCGGCGGCGGUAAUACGUGGGGUGCGAGCGUGAAUUGGAAGUACGUGGCGUAAAGCGUGCGCAGGCGGUUAGGUAAGACAGAGGGGAAAUCCCCGGGCUCAACCUGGGAACUGCCUUGGUGACUGCAUGGCUAGAGUGCGGCAGAGGGGGAUGGAAUUCCGCGUGUAGCAGUGAAAUGCGUAGAUAUGCGGAGGAACACCGAUGGCGAAGGCAAUCCCCUGGGCCUGCACUGACGCUCAUGCACGAAAGCGUGGGGAGCAAACAGGAUUAGAUACCCGGGUAGUC
rnacentral:rRNA from 1 species